rnacentral:rRNA from 1 species
AACUCUAAGCGGUGGAUCACUCGGCUCAUGGGUCGAUGAAGAACGCAGCAAACUGUGCGUCAUCGUGUGAACUGCAGGACACAUGAACAUCGACAUUUUGAACGCAUAUCGCAGUCCAUGCUGUUAUGUACUUUAAUUAAUUUUAUAGCCCUGCAUUGGACUACAUAUGGUUGAGGGUUG